rnacentral:rRNA from 1 species
GUCUUUUUUUUAAAGUCCUCCCUGCUCGCUGUAUUUAAAGGGCCGCUGUAAAUGGUGCAAAGGUAGCAUAAUCAAUUGUCUUUUUAUUAAAGUCUAGAAUGAAAGGGAAAAUGGUCUAAAAACUUUAAAAAAUUGAUUUAAAAAAUUUAACUUUAAGUAAAAAUGCUUAAGUAUUAAAAUGGGACGAGAAGACCCUAAGAUUUUUAUGAAAACUUCUAAUUUUUUUUAUUCAUUUAAUUGGGGAAAUUAGUAAAUUAAACUUUAGUUAUUUGAAUUCAAUAUAAUUGAGUGUUAAAGAGUGAAACUAAAAAAAAUUAUAAUUACCUUAGGGAUAACAGCGUUAUAACAAAUGAGAAAAUUGUAUUAUAAAUUUAUUUAAAUUUGUGUUUGCGACCUCGAUGUUGAAUUAAAAUUACCAUUUUAGUAGAGUUAACAUGGGUUUAGUCUGUUCGACUAUUAAAUUU